rnacentral:rRNA from 1 species
CCUACGGGAGGCAGCAGUGGGGAAUAUUGCACAAUGGGGGAAACCCUGAUGCAGCGAAGCAGCGUGAGCGAUGAAGUAUCUCGGUAUGUAAAGCUCUAUCAACAGGGAAGAAAAUGACGGUACCUGACUAAGAAGCCACGGCUAAUUACGUGCCAGCAGCCGCGGUAACACGCAGGGGGCCAGCGUAAUCCGGAUUGACUGGGUGUAAAGGGAGCGUAGACGGCGGUGCAAGCCAGAUGUGAAAGUCUGGGGCUCAACCCCGGGAUUGCAUUUGGAACUGUGCGGCUUGAGUGUAGUAGAGGCAGGCGGAAUUCCUGGUGUAGCGGUGAAAUGCGUAGAUAGUAGGAGGAACACCAGUGGCGAAGGCGGCCUGCUGGACGAUGACUGACGUUGAGGCUCGAAAGCGUGGGUAUCAAACAGGAUUAGAUACCCCAGUAGUC